UACGUAGGGCGCAAGCGUUGUCCGGAAUUAUUGGGCGUAAAGAGCUCGUAGGCGGCUUGUCGCGUCGGGAGUGAAAAUCCAGGGCUCAACCCGUGACCUGCAGUGGGUACGGGCAGACUAGAGUGCGGGUAGGGGAGAUCGGAAUUCCUGGUUAGCGGUGAAAUGCGCAGAUAUCAGGAGGAACACCGGUGGCGGAGGCGGAUCUCUGGGCCGUAACUGACGCUGAGGAGCGAAAGCAUGGGGAGCGAACAGG
rnacentral:rRNA from 1 species